GAUGAACGCUGGCGGCGUGCCUAAUACAUGCAAGUCGAGCGAACAGACGAGGAGCUUGCUCCUCUGACGUUAGCGGCGGACGGGUGAGUAACACGUGGAUAACCUACCUAUAAGACUGGGAUAACUUCGGGAAACCGGAGCUAAUACCGGAUAAUAUAUUGAACCGCAUGGUUCAAUAGUGAAAGACGGUUUUGCUGUCACUUAUAGAUGGAUCCGCGCCGCAUUAGCUAGUUGGUAAGGUAACGGCUUACCAAGGCAACGAUGCGUAGCCGACCUGAGAGGGUGGUCGGCCACACUAGAACUGAGCCACGGUCCAGACUCCUACGGGAGGCAGCAGUAGGGAAUCUUCCGCAAUGGGCGAAAGCCUGACGGAGCAACGCCGCGUGAGUGAUGAAGGUCUUCGGAUCGUAAAACUCUGUUAUUAGGGAAGAACAAAUGUGUAAGUAACUAUGCACGUCUUGACGGUACCUAAUCAGAAAGCCACGGCUAACUACGUG
rnacentral:rRNA from 1 species